AAAUUCUUAGUAUAAUUAGUAUAUUUAAUUGCAAAUUAAAAGGUUUAGAAUUUU
rnacentral:tRNA from 1 species